AGAAUGACUCUCGGCAACGGAUAUCUAGGCUCUUGCAUCGAUGAAGAACGUAGCGAAAUGCGAUACYUGGUGUGAAUUGCAGAAUCCCGUGAACCAUCGAGUCUUUGAACGCAAGUUGCGCCCGAUGCCACUAGGUUGAGGGCACGUCUGCCUGGGCGUCACAU
rnacentral:rRNA from 1 species